rnacentral:rRNA from 1 species
UGCGUAGGUGGUGAGGUAAGUUUGAUGUGAAAUCUCCGGGCUCAACCCGGAAAUGGCAUUGAAUACUAUCUCGCUAGGGAGUCGGAGGGGGGACUGGAAUACUUGGUGUAGCAGUGAAAUGCGUAGAUAUCAAGUGGAACACCAGUGGCGAAGGCGAGUCCCUGGACGACUUCUGACACUGAGGCACGAAAGCUAGGGGAGCAAACA